rnacentral:rRNA from 1 species
CCUACGGGAGGCAGCAGUGAGGAAUAUUGGUCAAUGGGCGCGAGCCUGAACCAGCCAAGUAGCGUGAAGGAUGACUGCCCUACGGGUUGUAAACUUCUUUUGUCAGGGAAGAGUAGAAGACGGUACCUGACGAAUAAGCCACGGCUAACUACGUGCCAGCAGCCGCGGUAAUACGUAGGUGGCAAGCGUUAUCCGGAUUUAUUGGGUUUAAAGGGUGCGUAGGCUGUGAGGUAAGUCAGCGGUGAAAUGCCCCCGCUCAACGGGGUGAAGUGCCAUUGAUACUGCCUUGCUGGAAUGCGGAUGCCGUGGGAGGAAUGUGUGGUGUAGCGGUGAAAUGCAUAGAUAUCACACAGAACACCGAUUGCGAAGGCAUCUCACGAAUCCGCGAUUGACGCUGAUGCACGAAAGCGUGGGUAUCAAACAGGAUUAGAUACCCCGGUAGUC